UACGGAGGGUGCAAGCGUUAUCCGGAUUCACUGGGUUUAAAGGGUGCGUAGGUGGGCAGGUAAGUCAGUGGUGAAAUCUCCGGGCUUAACUCGGAAACUGCCAUUGAUACUAUCUGUCUUGAAUACCGUGGAGGUCAGCGGAAUAUGUCAUGUAGCGGUGAAAUGCUUAGAUAUGACAUAGAACACCAAUUGCGAAGGCAGCUGGCUAGACGAAUAUUGACACUGAUGCACGAAAGCGUGGGGAGCAAACAGG
rnacentral:rRNA from 1 species